rnacentral:rRNA from 1 species
UCGGUCAUGGAGGCACUCUGACCAGCCAUGCCGCGUGCAGGAAGACGGCCCUACGGGUUGUAAACUGCUUUUGUCGGGGAAUAAACCUCUUUACGUGUAGAGAGUUGAAUGUACUCGAAGAAUAAGGAUCGGCUAACUCCGUGCCAGCAGCCGCGGUAAUACGGAGGAUCCAAGCGUUAUCCGGAUUUAUUGGGUUUAAAGGGUGCGUAGGCGGCUUAUUAAGUCAGGGGUGAAAGACGGUGGCUCAACCAUCGCAGUGCCUUUGAUACUGAUGAGCUUGAAUGAACUUGAGGUAGGCGGAAUGUGACAAGUAGCGGUGAAAUGCAUAGAUAUGUCACAGAACACCAAUUGCGAAGGCAGCUUACUAAAGUUUAAUUGACGCUGAGGCACGAAAGCGUGGGGAUCAAACAGGAUUAGAUACCCUGGUAGUCCACGCCCUAAACGAUGAAUACUCGAUGUUAGCGAUAUACAGUUAGCGUCUAAGCGAAAGCGUUAAGUAUUCCACCUGGGGAGUACGCCCGCAAGGGUGAAACUCAAAUGAAAUUGACGG